UGGGGAAUUUUGCACAAUGGGGGAAACCCUGAUGCAGCGACGCCGCGUGAUUUAGAAGGCCUUCGGGUUGUAAAAAUCUUUUCUAUGGGAAGAAAAUGACAGUACCAUAGGAAUAAGGACCGGCUAAUUACGUGCCAGCAGCCGCGGUAAUACGUAAGGUCCGAGCGUUGUCCGGAAUCAUUGGGCGUAAAGGGUACGUAGGCGGGUAAGCAAGUUAGAAGUGAAAUCCGAUAGCUCAACUAUAGUAAGCUUUUAAAACUGCUCAUCUUGAGGUAUGGAAGGGAAAGUGGAAUUCCUAGUGUAGCGGUGAAAUGCGCAGAUAUUAGGAGGAAAGCCGGUGGCGAAGGCGACUUUCUGGCCAUAACCUGACGCUGAGGUACGAAAGCGUGGGUAGCAAACAGG
rnacentral:rRNA from 1 species